rnacentral:tRNA from 1 species
GUCGGAGUAUUAGCAAUGGUAGCUGGUCAGUCUCAUAAGCUGAAGGUUGAAGGUUCGAGUCCUUCCUCCGCCA